GGGGUAGGGGGCAGUCCCCAUCCUGCACCCGCCGCACCUGCGGGAGCCUCUCGGGGCCCAGAUAGGUGCCCAUAGAGAGGGUGCCCUGUCGGUCGCGCCGUGGGGCCUGGAUCCCGAGCGCUGGUCCUCGGAGGUGACAGUGAGGCGACCUUCAAAGAACCCCGAGCUGAGCCAGCCCAGCGCGAGCAGCACCCCAUUCCCCCUCGCCCGCAGAACGAAUGGAAAUGAGACCUGAAUGCAUUGGGGGCCGGACAGAUGGCGUUUGGGACCCUCCCCCCUGCAUUCUGAGAGUUAGCAAGUUCACUUCGCCACUUUUUCGACGUGUGAGUUUUAGGAUUCUCUGCGAACCUCCAAGGUGUAUCCGCGUGGAGGCCACCAGCAGUGCUGAAAAGCUCCAAGUUGUAGCCAGGGGACAGUAAGCAGUAGCAUAUGUGUAGCUCUGGAUGCCGCUGAACUGCAUAGAACCCCAAAUGAUGCGCAGCUGCUUAAAGCAAGGCUUCGGUGUGUGUCUUCUGAAGGGCCGUGUGGCAUUAUUAUUCAUGGAGAAGCUCACGCAAUGAUGUGUUUGUUAAUAGGGCACCUGAGGUGGGAGAGGGUGGAAGGGGUGGGAGGUGAGCUCUUGUUUGGGCUUCCGGUCCAGCAUUCUGGGAAGGGCCGCUCCCAGCCUCACCCGGUGAGCGGUGCGCUUUUCCGAGAAGCUGUGAAUCCUUUGGUGAAGACUGGUAACUGGUGAUUUCUCAGGCCACCAACGCACAGCAUUGGGAGUCUUUUGGCCUCCAUGUCUCGAGCUAUGAAAUGGGUUCUAUGGAUGCUUCCUAAACUUGCCCCGUCGGACCCCUGGGAAGGGGGUUGGGGAGCUCAGCCUGAGGCUUCCAGCACUUUUCAGUGUUAGUCCAGUGGUUCCUUUGGUGAAGGCCAGAACACAGGGUUCUUGUCUGUUUUAAAAAUAAAGUCAUGUAAACUGC